UGUUCUGCUCAUCCAGAUCUUCAUAAUCUUAUAAUUCCAUCUCUAAUUUGAUUCUCUCUUAGAACAAAGCGCGGUGAGAGAGAAGGAAACUCUGGAACUAUCGUGUUCGAAGCAUCGGCUUAGGUCGAAAUGGCGGCAGGUGGAUUCGUGAGCCGGGCUUUCGAGUCGAUGCUCAAGGAAUGUGCCGGCAAAAAACAUCCCGAUCUUCAAAAUGCUAUUCAAACUUAUCUAGAUAGUCCUAAGCAAACAAAUCAGCAUCCUUCAUCCAGUGAGUCUGAUCAAUCAGCCCCUUCCACUGGAGAUGGAAGGUUUGUAUCUGAUUACA